GAUGAACGCUGGCGGCAGGCCUAAUACAUGCAAGUCGAGCGGACGGACGGUAAGCGCUCGUUUUUGCGGUUGGCGGGGGGCGGGUGGGUGAGGCGUAGAUAAGCAUCUUAUAUUACGGGGGUGAUUUCGGAAAAACGCAUCCGCUAAUGGCGAAUAUGUUGUACGGGUGGGAGCAAAGGUUAAUGGGGGCUUGCGCGACUGAAUGAGCUGGUGCCGGGUUGCAUUAGCUAGUUGGUAAGGUAACGGCCUACCAAGGCAACGAUGCAUAGCCGACCUGAGAGGGUGAUCAGCCACACUGGAACUGAGACACGGUCCAGACUCCUACGGGAGGCAGCAGUAGGGAAUCUUCCGCAAUGGGCGAAAGCCUGACCGAGCAACGCCGCGUGAGUGGUGAAGGUCUUCGGAUCGUAAAACUCUUUUAUUAGGGAAGAACAUCUGUAUAAGUAAAUGUGGCUAUCCUGACGGUACCUAAUCAGAAAGCCACGGCUAACUACGUG
rnacentral:rRNA from 1 species